rnacentral:tRNA from 1 species
UGCUAUUUAGUUUAUGUUAAAAUACUGAUUUUGUAAUUCGGAGUUAAGGAGUUUCCUUUUUGGCAA